rnacentral:rRNA from 1 species
AACGUAGGAGACGAACGUUAUCCGGAGUUACUGGGCGUAAAGGGCGUGUAGGCGGUUUGUUAAGUCUGGCGUGAAAGCUCUCGGCUAAACCGGGAGAGGUCGUUGGAUACUGGCGAACUGGAGGAUGGUAGAGGCGUGUGGAAUUCCGGGUGUAGUGGUGAAAUGCGUAGAGAUCCGGAGGAACACCAGUGGCGAAGGCGACACGCUGGGCCAUACCUGACGCUAAAGCGCGACAGCAUGGGGAGCAAACGGG